rnacentral:rRNA from 1 species
UAAGGAAUAUUGGUCAAUGGACGCAAGUCUGAACCAGCCAUGCCGCGUGCAGGAUGACUGCCCUAUGGGUUGUAAACUGCUUUUGUACGGGAAGAAACCCCUCUACGUGUAGAGGGUUGACGGUACCGUAAGAAUAAGGAUCGGCUAACUCCGUGCCAGCAGCCGCGGUAAUACGGAGGAUCCAAGCGUUAUCCGGAUUUAUUGGGUUUAAAGGGUGCGUAGGCGGCCUAUUAAGUCAGUGGUGAAAGCCUGGAGCUUAACUCCAGAACUGCCAUUGAUACUGAUGGGCUUGAGUACAGUUGAGGUGGGCGGAAUGUGUCAUGUAGCGGUGAAAUGCUUAGAUAUGACACAGAACACCGAUUGCGAAGGCAGCUCGCUAAACUGUAACUGACGCUGAGGCACGAAAGCGUGGGUAGCAAACAG